rnacentral:lncRNA from 1 species
UCAGGUUAAUACCUAAGUGUGGCAUUUUAUUUUAAAAAUAAUAAGCAAUCUAGAAAGCUAAAUUUUAGCAAUAUUCAUUCUUAAACAAUGUUUGACACUUAAAUCCAGAAAUUUGAUUGUUAAAGUUUUCCUAAUUACUUCACUAAAAUCAGGUUGAAAGAAAACUGCUUUUGUCUAAAAUAGUUUUGCAGAUGGGAAUUGUUAAGUCAUUGUAUUGUUCCAUUUUGCACCCUACAAUUUCACUGAAAGGCAGACUGAUAAAAAUCAGCGAGGCCAGUUUCUGAACACUACCCUCUCCUCCAGAGGACACACCUCCAGGGCAAUCUGUCCCUUUGGGCCUGCCUUCACAGGACCCUCCAGUACCUACCUCUCCCAGGAAGGUUGGCUAACGUUUGUCCUGAACAGACAAAUCUAGAAAUGAGCAGCCAGGGGUGCAGACGCCCGGUCUUUGCUUUGGAACAAGGGCUACUUCCUGCUUCUGCCAGGAGGAGCGACCCAAGGGAACACACACGUUUUCUUGGAGUCACAAGAAGAGGGGACUCUCAACUUUGAGAGUCGUUCUCACUUCCUCUUUCCUCAUUCACUCACAUCCGACAGACAUUGGUUGCAGGUCUGUGCUCUGCCACACUCUGGGAAUAGAUACCAAGAUGGGUUAUCUGGGGCCUCCAGGCUCAUGGGGUAUGGGGCAGUCACGCCAGGACACAGUUAAAACCCAGUGUGAAGGGAAGGAGGCUUGCUUUGUUCCCCAGGGUGGAGUGCAGUAGCGUGAUCGCAGCUCACUGCAGCCUUGAACUCCCGGGCUCAAGCGAUCCUGCUGCCUCAGCCUCCUAAGUAGCUAGGACUACAGGUAUGUGCCACCACGCCUGGCUAAUUGUUGAAUUUUUUGUAGAGAUGGGUCUUACUAUGUUACCCAGGUUGGUCUCGAACUCCAAAGCUCAAGAUAUCCCUGCCACCCUUGGUCUCCCAAAGUGCUGAGAUUACAGACACGAAUCGGUGAUUUUUACCCUGAGACCCUAAUGAUAAGAUGGAAGGAAAUGCUUUUCUUUUUUUUUUUUUUUCCUUCUUUUUUGAAGGAAGUCUCGCUCUAUUGCCCAGGCUGGAGUACAGUGGCACAAUCUUGGCUCAUUGCAACCUCCAUCUCCCCAGUUCAAUGGAUUCUCCUGCCUCAGCCUCCUGAGUAGCUGGGAUUGCAGGCGUGUGCCACCGUGCCCAGCUAAUUUUUGUAUUUUUAGUAGAGACAGGGUUUCACCAUGUUGGCCAGGCUGGUCUGGAACUCCUGGCCUCAAGUGAUCUGCCCAACUCGGCCUCCAAAAGUGCUGGGAUUACAGGCGUGAGUCAUCGC